UACGUAGGGGCCGAGCGUUGUCCGGAUUUACUGGGCGUAAAGCGCGCGCAGGCGGCUCGUCAAGCCUGACGUGAAAGCCCCCGGCUCAACCGGGGAGGGUCGUCGGGGACUGGCGGGCUUGAGGGCGGCAGGGGUUGGUGGAAUUCCCGGUGUAGUGGUGAAAUGCGUAGAGAUCGGGAGGAACACCCGUGGCGAAGGCGGCCAGCUGGGCCGGACCUGACGCUGAGGCGCGAAGGCGUGGGGAGCGAACGGG
rnacentral:rRNA from 1 species